rnacentral:rRNA from 1 species
UACGUAGGGUGCGAGCGUUGUCCGGAAUUAUUGGGCGUAAAGAGCUCGUAGGCGGUCUGUCGCGUCGGUCGUGAAAACUUGGGGCUUAACCCUGAGCUUGCGGUCGAUACGGGCAUGACUGGAGUUCGGCAGGGGAGACUGGAAUUCCUGGUGUAGCGGUGAAAUGCGCAGAUAUCAGGAGGAACACCGGUGGUGAAGGCGGGUCUCUG